UAUCAAUGGGCGGCAGGCCUAACACAUGCAAGUCGAGCGGUAGCACAGGAGAGCUUGCUCUCUGGGUGACGAGCGGCGGACGGGUGAGUAAUGUCUGGGAAACUGCCUGAUGGAGGGGGAUAACUACUGGAAACGGUAGCUAAUACCGCAUAACGUCUUCGGACCAAAGAGGGGGACCUUCGGGCCUCUUGCCAUCAGAUGUGCCCAGAUGGGAUUAGCUAGUAGGUGAGGUAAUGGCUCACCUAGGCGACGAUCCCUAGCUGGUCUGAGAGGAUGACCAGCCACACUGGAACUGAGACACGGUCCAGACUCCUACGGGAGGCAGCAGUGGGGAAUAUUGCACAAUGGGCGCAAGCCUGAUGCAGCCAUGCCGCGUGUAUGAAGAAGGGCCUUCGGGUUGUAAAGUACUUUCAGCGAGGAGGAAGGCAUUGUGGUUAAUAACCGCAGUGAUUGACGUUACUCGCAGAAGAAGCACCGGCUAACUCCGUGCCAGCAGCCGCGGUAAUACGGAGGGGUGCAAGCGUUUAAUCGGAAUUACUGGGGCGUUAAAGCGCACGCAGGCGGUCUGUCAAGUCGGAUGGUGAAAUCCCCGGGCCUCAACCUGGGGAACUGCAUUCGAAACUGGCAGGGCUAGAGUCUUGUAGAGGGGGGGUAGAAUUCCAGGGUGUAGCGGUUGAAAUGCGUAGAGAUCUGGAGGGAAUACCGGGUGGCGAAGGCGGCCCCCCUGGACAAAGACCUGACGCUCAGGGUGCGAAAGCGUGGGGGAGCAACACAGGAUUAGCAUACCCUCUGGGUUAGUCCACUGCCGUACAACGAAUGCUCGACAUUUUGGAGGUUGUUCCUCCUUUGAGGAAGUGGCUCUCUCGCAGACUAACUCGAAACUGGCAGGCUAGAGUCUUGUAGAGGGGGGUAGAAUUCCAGGUGUAGCGGUGAAAUGCGUAGAGAUCUGGAGGAAUACCCGGUGGCGAAGGCGGCCCCCUGGACAAAGACUGACGCUCAGGUGCGAAAGCGUGGGGAGCAAACAGGAUUAGAUACCCUGGUAGUCCACGCCAGUAAACGAUGUCGACUUGGAGGUUGUUCCCUUGAGGAGUGGCUUCCGGAGCUAACGCGUUAAGUCGACCGCCUGGGGAGUACGGCCGCAAGGUUAAAACUCAAAUGAAUUGACGGGGGCCCGCACAAGCGGUGGAGCAUGUGGUUUAAUUCGAUGCAACGCGAAGAACCUUACCUACUCUUGACAUCCAGAGAAUUCGCUAGAGAUAGCUUAGUGCCUUCGGGAACUCUGAGACAGGUGCUGCAUGGCUGUCGUCAGCUCGUGUUGUGAAAUGUUGGGUUAAGUCCCGCAACGAGCGCAACCCUUAUCCUUUGUUGCCAGCGGUUCGGCCGGGAACUCAAAGGAGACUGCCAGUGAUAAACUGGAGGAAGGUGGGGAUGACGUCAAGUCAUCAUGGCCCUUACGAGUAGGGCUACACACGUGCUACAAUGGCGCAUACAAAGAGAAGCGACCUCGCGAGAGCAAGCGGACCUCAUAAAGUGCGUCGUAGUCCGGAUCGGAGUCUGCAACUCGACUCCGUGAAGUCGGAAUCGCUAGUAAUCGUAGAUCAGAAUGCUACGGUGAAUACGUUCCCGGGCCUUGUACACACCGCCCGUCACACCAUGGGAGUGGGUUGCAAAAGAAGUAGGUAGCUUAACCUUCGGGAGGGCGCUUACCACUUUGUGAUUCAUGACCACGGA
rnacentral:rRNA from 1 species